rnacentral:rRNA from 1 species
UGGGGAAUAUUGCACAAUGGGCGCAAGCCUGAUGCAGCCAUGCCGCGUGUGUGAAGAAGGCCUCGGGUUGUAAAGCACUUUCAGCGAGGAGGAAGGUGGUGAGCUUAAUACGCUCAUCAAUUGACGUUACUCGCAGAAGAAGCACCGGCUAACUCCGUGCCAGCAGCCGCGGUAAUACGGAGGGUGCAAGCGUUAAUCGGAAUUACUGGGCGUAAAGCGCACGCAGGCGGUUUGUUAAGUCAGAUGUGAAAUCCCCGGGCUCAACCUGGGAACUGCAUUUGAAACUGGCAAGCUAGAGUCUCGUAGAGGGGGGUAGAAUUCCAGGUGUAGCGGUGAAAUGCGUAGAGAUCUGGAGGAAUACCGGUGGCGAAGGCGGCCCCCCUGGACGAAGACUGACGCUCAGGUGCGAAAGCGUGGGGCAGCAAACAGGAUUAGAUACCCCGGUAGUCCACGCUGUAAACGAUGUCNAUUUUGGAGGUUGUGCCCCUUGAGGCGUGGCUUCCGGAGCUAACGCGUUAAAUCGACCGCCUGGGGAG